UGGUUCUGGCAUCGAUGAAGAACGCAGCGAAAUGCGAUAAGUAGUGUGAAUUGCAGAAUUCAGUGAAUCAUCGAAUCUUUGAACGCACAUUGCGCCCUUCGGUAUUCCGUCGGGCAUGCCUGUUCGAGCGUCAUUUAAACCUUCAGGCCCUGCCUGGUGUUGGGUGUUUGUUCCGCCUCUGCGCGUGGACUCGCCUCAAAUUGAUUGGCAGCCGGUGGGUUGGCUUCGCGCGCAGGCACAUUGCGCCGCGGCCCCAGCCUGCCUCCGUCCAGCAAGCCGCUCCAUCACUUUUGACCUCGGAUCAGGUAGGGAUACCCGCUGA
rnacentral:misc_RNA from 1 species